rnacentral:rRNA from 1 species
UGCAGUCGAACGGUAGCACAGAGAGCUUGCUCUCGGGUGACGAGUGGCGGACNNNNNNNUAAUGUCUGGGAAACUGCCUGAUGGAGGGGGAUAACUACUGGAAACGGUAGCUAAUACCGCAUAACGUCGCAAGACCAAAGAGGGGGACCUUCGGGCCUCUUGCCAUCAGAUGUGCCCAGAUGGGAUUAGCUAGUAGGUGGGGUAAUGGCUCACCUAGGCGACGAUCCCUAGCUGGUCUGAGAGGAUGACCAGCCA